rnacentral:rRNA from 1 species
GCAGCAGUGGGGAAUAUUGGGCAAUGGAGGCAAGUCUGACCCAGCGACGCCGCGUGCGGGAUGAAGGCCUUCGGGUUGUAAACCGCUUUCAGCAGGGAAGAAGCGAAAGUGACGGUACCUGCAGAAGAAGCACCGGCUAACUAUGUGCCAGCAGCCGCGGUAAUACAUAGGGUGCAAGCGUUGUCCGGAAUUAUUGGGCGUAAAGAGCUCGUAGGUGGUUCGUUACGUCGGAUGUGAAAAUCUGGGGCUCAACCCCAGACCUGCAUUCGAUACGGGCGAGCUAGAGUUUGGUAGGGGAGACUGGAAUUCCUGGUGUAGCGGUGGAAUGCGCAGAUAUCAGGAGGAACACCAAUGGCGAAGGCAGGUCUCUGGGCCAAUACUGACACUGAGGAACGAAAGCGUGGGGAGCGAACAGGAUUAGAUACCCCCUGGUAGA